rnacentral:tRNA from 1 species
GCGGGCAUAGCUCAGUUGGCUUAGAGCGUCGCGUUGCCAUCGCGAAGGUCGAGGGUUCGAGUCCCUUUGCCCGCU